UUCACUUCUCAUCACCUCCACCAUCUUUUUCCUACGAAGUAUACCGGAAAACUCCAUAAGAAUAAGGUUCUAGCUAAUCUCCUUUGGAGCUUGGAGAGUUAGGCUUUUUGCGGGUUGCAAGGGUAGGCGACUAUCUUUUUGAGACAGCUUUUUUGGUGGCUAGCAGUAGUUAGACUAAUUGCUGAUGGAGGCUGACUUUUGUGAUGGAGAUAAUUGAUGAUAUAUAACUUAGAGUAGGCUUGACCCAAUUCUUUUGUAUCUAAUAGUGGUUAUGUCUUUAUUUCCACUAAUGGGACAAGUUGAUA